rnacentral:rRNA from 1 species
CCUACGGGUGGCAGCAGUGAGGAAUAUUGGUCAAUGGCCGGAAGGCUGAACCAGCCAUGCCGCGUGAAGGGCAGGGUCCUACGGGCGUUAAACUUCUUUUGUGCGGGAGCAAUAAUGGUCACGUGUGGCCAGACGAGAGUACCGGACGAAUAAGCAUCGGCUAACUCCGUUGCAGCAGCCGCGGUAAUACGGGGGAUGCAAGCGUUAUCCGGAUUUAUUGGGGUUAAAGGGGGCGUAGGCUGUGAUGUAAGUCAGCGGUGAAAUGCCCCCGCUCAACGGGGUGAAGUGCCUUUGAUACUGCCUUGCUGGAAUGCGGAUGCCGUGGGAGGAAUGUGUGGUGUAGCGGUGAAAUGCAUAGAUAUCACACAGAACACCGAUUGCGAAGGCAUCUCACGAAUCCGCGAUUGACGCUGAUGCACGAAAGCGUGGGUAUCAAACAGGAUUAGAUACCCUUGUAGUC